UACGUAGGAGACGAGCGUUGUCCGGAGUUACUGGGCGUAAAGGGUGCGCAGGUGGCGGCGCGCGUGGGGGGUGAAAUCGCCCGGCUUAACUGGGCGGGGGCCUUCCAGACGGCGUGGCUUGAGCAGCGGAGGGGGACGUGGAAUUCCGGGUGGAGCGGUGAAAUGCGUAGAGAUCGGGAGGAACACCAAUGGCGAAAGCAGGUGCCUGGACCAUUACUGACACUCAACUGCGAAAGCUAGGGGAGCAAACAGG
rnacentral:rRNA from 1 species